rnacentral:misc_RNA from 1 species
UUUCCGUAGGUGAACCUGCGGAAGGAUCAUUAUCGUACAAAAUGUGAGUGGCAUGCAAGGGCUGUCGCUGACCCAAAAGUCGUGCACGCCCGAGUGUGUCCUCUUGCAUAAUAAUCCAUCUCACGCUUUGUGCAUCACCGCGUGGGCACCCUUCGGGAUCAUCUCGGAGGGGGGCUCGCGUUUUCACACAAACCCACCUUUUAAAAGUGUAGAAUGACCACAUUUAUGCAAUCAAUACAACUUUCAACAACGGAUCUCUUGGCUCUC